rnacentral:lncRNA from 1 species
AAAUAGUUUGCCAUCUGGGGACUUGUAUGAUAUCCAACAUUUGAGAACUUUUUUACCGGUAAUACUGUCAAAUAGUAAGCCUGGCUACUUGGCUCCUAGCAUGCUUCCUAAGUUGCUCAAACUCCAAAGCUUGAGGGUCUUCUCUCUGCGUGGAUACCGCAUCCUUGAGCUGCCGGAUUCAGUUGGUGAUUUGAGGUAUUUAAGGUACCUUAACCUGUCUGGAACUGAGAUUCGAACUCUACCUGAAUCAGUCAGCAAGCUUUACAAUUUGCAUAGUCUUUUGUUGGAAGAUUGUGAUCGGCUGGAGAAGUUGUGUGCAGACAUGGGAAAUCUCGUCAAAUUGCAUCAUCUUAAGAAUUCAAAUACGAAGUCGUUGGAGGAAAUGCCGGUAGGAAUUGGCAGGCUGACUUGUCUUCAGACGUUGUGUAGUUUUGUUGUGGGAAAAGACAGUGGUUCUGGGUUACGAGAGCUAAAGUUGUUGACGCAACUUAGGGGGACACUUUGCAUUUCAAAUUUGGAGAAUGUAAAACACAUUGUUGAUGCCGAGGACGCUCAAUUGGAUAGAAAGGAGAAUCUUAAAGAAUUAUGGCUUCGAUGGACACUCUAUGGCUCGUACUGAUUUUCUGCUGUACCGUACAUCCGCCUUGGCCGUACAGCAGGAGCAAUUUUGUAUCAAAGGCUAUGGAGGUAUGAAAUUUCCAACUUGGUUGGGAGAUUCCUCAUUCUCAAAAUUGGUGACCCUAAAAUUUAAAAAUUGUGACAUGUGUACUGCCCUGCCGUCUGUCGGGCAACUGCCCUCUCUAAAGCAUCUUACAGUGCGUGGAAUGAGUAAAGUAAAGAGAUUGGGUUCAGAGUUCUAUGGGGAUGACUCUCCAAUUCCAUUUCCACGCUUGGAGACUCUUCGUUUUGAAGACCUGCAAGAAUGGGAAGACUCGAUUCCUCAUGGAUCCAGUCAGGGAGUUGAACGGUUUCCUAAAUUGAGAGAGCUUCGCAUUUUAAGAUGUUCUAAACUGAAAGGAACAUUUCCAGAGCACCUUCCUGCAUUGGAGAUGCUUGUUAUUGAAGGAUGUGAAGAAUUGUUAGUUUCAGUUUCGAGUCUUCCAGCUCUUUGCAAAUUCAUAAUUAGUGGAUGCAAAAAGGUUGUGUGGGAAAGUGCAACUGGUCAUCUCGGAUCACAGAAUUCAGUGGUUUGUAGAGAUACAUCAAAUCAAGUGUUUCUUGCGGGGCCAUUGAAGCCACAACUACCGAAAUUGGAAGAAUUAAUUUUGUCGACAAAAGAGCAAACAUAUAUAUGGAAGAGUCAUGACGGAUUACUACAAGACAUUUGCUCUCUCAAAAGUCUGGAGAUAAGAGGGUGUCCCAAACUUCAAUCCUUGGUGGCGGAGGAAGAGAAAGACCAACAACAGCAGCUCUGCGAGUUGUCAUGCAGACUCGAAUAUCUAAGAUUGAGAUAUUGCGAAGGCCUUGUGAAGCUGCCACAAUCAUCGCUCAGCCUCAGUUCCUUGAGAGAGAUAGAAAUCUACGGCUGCAGGUCCCUUGUUUCCUUUCCUGAGGUUGCUCUGCCUUCCAAGUUGAAGAAAAUUGAGAUUAGUUCUUGUGAUGCACUGAAAUCGUUACCAGAGGCAUGGAUGUGCGACACCAAUUCGUCUCUCGAGAUCUUGGAGAUUUCGGGUUGCGAUUCGUUGACAUAUAUUGCUGGAGUCCAGCUACCACCGAGCCUUAAGAGGUUGAAGAUCUGCCAUUGCGAUAAUAUAAGGACUUUGACAGUGGAAGAGGGCAUCCAGUGUAGCAGCGGCAGAAGGUACACCUCAUCUCUUCUCGAGCACUUAGAAAUUUACAGUUGUCCAUCAUUGACAUGUAUAUUUUCAAAAAACGAGUUACCUGCCACGCUUGAGUCCCUUGAAGUUGGCAAUCUACCUCCGUCUCUUAAGUUGCUUUUAGUUUGGGGAUGUUCGAAGCUGGAGUCAAUAGCAGAAAUGUUGGACAACAACACAUCUCUUGAAAAAAUCAACAUUUCUGGUUGUGGAAAUCUUCAAACUUUACCGAGUGGUUUACAUAAUCUUUGCCAGCUUCAAGAGAUUAGUAUUGCGAGUUGUGGAAAUCUGGUGUCCUCUCCGGAAGGGGGAUUGCCUUGUGCGAAACUCGCAAUGCUGGCGAUAUAUAAUUGUAAGAGACUAGAGGCCUUACCCAAGGGAUUGCACAAUCUGAAGUCUCUUCAAGAAUUAAGAAUAGGAAAAGGAGUUGCGCUUCCAAGCCUUGAAGAAGAUGGCCUUCCCACCAACCUUCAUGUACUGCUGAUUAAUGGUAAUAUGGAGAUUUGGAAGUCAAUGAUUGAGCGGGGCCGGGGAUUUCACAGAUUCUCCUCUCUGCGACAACUUACAAUCAUGAAUUGUGAUGACGACAUGGUAUCAUUCCCACCAAAGGCAGAUGACAAAGGAUCGGGGACAGUGCUUCCUCUUCCUGCCUCUCUAACAUAUCUGAGGAUUGAAGGUUUUCCAAAUCUGGAACGCCUAACUUCUUCAAUUGUUGAUCUUCAAAACCUCACUGGAUUGGUUCUCGGGAAUUGUCCCAAGCUCAAAUACUUUCCGGAGAAGGGCCUGCCUUCCUCACUUUUGCAAUUAAGUAUCAAUCGCUGUCCGUUGAUAGAAGAGAAGUGCAGAAAGGAUGGAGGACAAUAUUGGGACUUGUUAACCCAUAUACCGAGUGUUGAAAUAUCUGGUAAAUGGGUUUUUGAUGACUGAAAUGUUUUAUUAUUAGAAUUUUUCUUUUUUAGUUGGGUGUGUUUGUGAAUGUAAUUUCAAAUCUUAGUUGAAAACUAUUUUUCUUUUGCAAUUACAGAUGUUGAGAUGUCCGUUGAUGGAAGAGAAGUAAGAGAAGUAAGAGAAGUAAGAGAAGUGCAGAGAGGAUGGAGAACAAUAUUGGGACUUGUUAACCCAUAUACCUUAUGCUCGAAUAGCCCGACUAAUGAAUGGGUAGAAGUGGUCGACUAAUCAAUGGGUUCGCAUUAUUUAGCUAGCGAAGGACGACUCUAUUAAUUAAUUAAUUAAUUAAUUUUUCAUUCUCAGCUGUUGAAACUUCAGUUUCUUAUAUUUGUCUUUUCUGCGGUACGGUUACAUAUAUUUGUCCUUUACAUAAUAUCUUAUGUAAAAUAUUUUAUUAUUAGAAUUUUUUUUCUUUUAAAUCAAGCGUGUUUGUGUAUGUAAUUUUAAAAUUCAAAUUUGGCUGUUGAAAUAAACUUCAGUUUCUUUUAUUUGGCUGUACGGUUAAAUAUGUGUAAUAUUUCUCUUCAUCAGACUUCGACAAAAAUUGUUAAUGUUCUUAUUAGUAAUUAAUUAGUACGGUAGUGUUCUUCUUUUGUUCCACAAUUUAUCAAAAGCAUUUUACUACAUAAUCUUUGUACAUGUACAUCGUCAUCAAAUCCCAUAACACCCAAAACAGAAAAUCAAAAGAAAACAAGAACAUGCCACACAAUAUAAAAAACGAAAAGAACAUUAUAACGCCAAGUAUUAUAUUUCUCUAAUUACAUUUCGGUUUUAGUGGCCUUAACUUAAAAUCUCCUCCAGAACAAUCUGCCUCCUCAGCAAUAAUGUUAUAAUGUUCUUUUGAUGUUGUUGUUUUUUUAGGUGCUACUUAAACAGAUGAGGGCUGGGCCGCGUUACAAAAUUAUUUGUAAUUUUUAAUUUAAUUGUUUAUGUGCCAUCGCUAUUAAUAUUAACCGAUAAAUACAAUUUUAUCAAUUACUGAAUAUUUGAAUUCAUCAAAACUGUUAUAAUUGAUCAGGAAGUCCAACUUUGUAGCUAUAAUAUGCUAUUUUCAUAAGACUUCGUUAAAGAUUGUUUUGUAAUUAAUUUCACACAACACAACCCUACAGAAAAUUGACCAAAACAAAAUGAAAUAUCAAGGCUGUAAUUAGCACUUGAUCAAAGGAAAAGAAGAAACAAAUGAAUUUGUAAGGAGUACUGCGAUACGUAUAUGAAUUUGUUUAGAGUUCUUUAUCAUAAAAAAAAUCAAUUGUAUGUCCUUCGUAUUUUCUCUAUAAAAACUUGCAUUAUAGAAAAUCAAAAGAGAAACAGCAUCCCAGAAUGCCAAAAAAAUAUCAGAAACAAAAAUCAAACAAAGCAAUUAAAAAGCAUUUGCUUGUGAUGCCAUGACCAUGAAUGCUACUGCCAUAACAAGAAAUGGCAUUGCAAGACUGUAGAAUGCCACAUGUGCGAAUGAGAAGAACAUUACAAAUCAACAAUUCAAAGAAAAAAGAAGAAUUUAAACCAGCUAAAAGGAUAGGCAUUAGGUAGAAUUUCACACAAAAAACAAGACUAAGAAAAUUUAAGGUGAUUUGCAUUUAUAAUCAGCAAAUGAGUCAACAUAUCAGAAUGAGAAGAACAUUCAGGAAUCACCAGGCAGGACAAGAUCAAGGAGGCAACAAGGAAGCAUUUGUUUUGGCCAAAUAAAGUUUGCAGAUCUUUUAAUGCUAAGAUUAGUAAUAAAACUAUCACUGGGAUAUUGGUUUGGCAAUGUUGAAUUAAUGGCCCUGAGUUUUAUGAUCUUUAUUACAUAUGUAUUUAUUGCAACUACACAUACAUGUAAUAUGUACCUUGUAGGCUUAUUUAUUUAUAUUAAUAAUUAAUAUGAUCUUUUCAAACUUACACGAAGUUGUUGAACAUAAAAAUACUCAAAUAUUCAGUGUUCUUGAUUAAAUUAGCAUCAAUGGACAUAAUUAAAUAAAGAAAAUCGGAUUAUUACGAUGAUUGGUUUAGUUAGCUACAUUAGUGUUAUUUUGUCUAAUUAUCAAGGAUAACAUUCAAUUAUAUAUAAUAUGUCCUUCAUAUUUUCUCUUUUAAUUAAAAUCGUAAAAAGACUUGCAAUAUAGACCAUGCAUUUGUUAUGUUGUUUAUUGGAGUGAAUUGAUGUUUUUCUUGUGAUUGUCAAAUAUUGUCUUUGUAAGUUAUCUAUUUUGUAUAUAUGAAAUCAACGAGAGUUUCACUCUUAUGGAAGGAUGUUGCUAGGUACCAAGAAGUAAGAACUGAUAGUUGUGUUAAUUAAUUAGUAUAAGUUAGCUGAAUGUUCAAUGUUCAUGCUCUUUUGAGCUACAUAUGGCAAUGAAAAUUGAGUUUCUGUGUAAAAUAUGAAGCUAUUCAAUCAAGCAACUCUGCUUUUCAAUUUUCUUACAUCUAAGUCAAAUAGCACUCUUUUAUAAAUCUUCGAGAGAACAAAGUUAAUGCAGGUUCGUACUUAUUAAAUUUGACAUCAAACAAUGAAGUGUAAAAAGUGAAAUUCUUAUCUAUGAUAAGCACCUAAAAUAAUUGCAUUGAGUUUUUCAAUUUUCAAAUUUUCAUUGCUAACUCAACAAUUGAGAGACUGAAACAUAUGGAAUAAGAAAUUAACAUAUUCAACCCAAAAGAUUAUUCAACUUAGAUGAUUCAAUAUAACACCUAAUAAGCUUAUGAGUCUUAUUUAAGGAAUAUUAUAAUUUUACUUGGAUUGCUAGAAAUCACGGGAUGUUAUUCAUUUAAGUAUGUGAUACACUUGUUUGAUGAAUUGCUUAUAUGAGUAGAUUAGAUUUUUAUUUUGGUCAUAUUUCUUAUUUUUCUAAUCCCAUCGGUCCCCUAUUUCCCAUCCCACAGCAAAUGGUGAUAGAGCUUCCCUAUCAUAUGUCAAACCCAUUAAAGCCAAAAGUAAGAAGUUAAAGAACUAUUUUGUACUGGCUAUACAAAGAACUAUAUUACAGUACUACGCACCCCAAAAAAAAAAAAAAUGAAGGCACCAUUCAUACUUCCAAAUCCAGCACUAGCACUUGAAAACAAUAGAAACAAAGGAAUUUGCCAAUAAAAAAAGUCAGCUGGAGAAAGCCAAGAAGAUGCAACUAGAAGCUAAGUGAUGUAAGGGAAUGAAAUCUAUUCCGAAAGAACGCCAAAUUGAAUUCAGGAAGUAACAUUGACUUACCCAGUUACAAAAGGAAGCCACUUUAAUCCUUUAAGAUGAUUAUGAUGAAAUUGGUUCCCUGUAUUGAAACAAUAAACAGCACCAAGGAUAACACUAAAGGCAGAGCCAGAUUAUAAGGGAAGAAAAAAGGGAGGAAAAAAAAUUUUACAACAUGAAAUUGGACUUUUGUUUUAUCUUCCAAAAGCAAGAAAUUCGACUAGAAAAGUAUAAAACAAGUACACAAUAUGAAAUUUUUAGCAAUCUUACAAAAUCACACCCAAAUCUCAAUAAGAUUGUACAUAGUUUUAGUAAAGCUCUACAAAUAUUUAUUUAACACCUAAUAAGAUCAUCUCCAUAAAUUUAAAAGCUUAAAACAAAGAAAGAAUACUUUUGAAUACAAAUAUACAAUGGAGUAGAGAACAAAAAAUGACAUAGAGGGAAAAAAAACACCAAGAGCAGAAAGAGUACAUAUACCAUCUCUAGCCCAUAAUUCAGACUUAUCCCCAUUGCACUCAAGAUAUGAAGUUUAGGGUCUAAAGUCUUCAACUCCUUGUAGUUCUUCUUCACAGAUGAUCUGCAAAAGUUAUAAGAGAAAGGUAAUUAGUCUUCAACUCUUUCUAGCAAGUUGAUUAGUAAUUCCUAAACAAGUUUAUAGCUUAUUAAUUAUAGUUGGAAUGCCCCCAAAGUUACUAAAACACAAACAAUAGAAACAGUGAGUUUUAAAUUAGUUGUGAGCAAUGCAUAGUCAGCCAUCAUUCUCAUUUUAGUCUCCCAUGAAUAUGAUGGCAAUAUGUAUAAUGGUAUUUUCCCAAUAUCAGACUAAGACAGCAUCUUUAUAACAAUAAUUCUGACAUUUUCUACUAUUUUUAUCUUUUUGCUAACAAAAUGUACAUCAGAACAUAAAUUUGAAGAAAAAUAAAAUUUAAGCAUACUCAUGUCAUUUAAUCAUAAAAAUGAAUAUCAAAAUUAAGCCUAGAUCUCAACAAUUAAACUCUAAACAAAUUAAACCAAAAAAAAAAAUCAGCUACCCAAAUGAAAUUUGCGUUUGCAUUGAAGCUCGGCCCACGAUAUCCCCAUGUUUAGCGAUCAAUUAGAGGGAAAUUGAACAAGAUACACAACCAGGGCUUUUUUUUCUCCAGUGCCUCAAUAUCAACGUCGUCAACCACCACAUCUUCGUCGUCAUCAUCAUUACUUCAUAAUUCCACAAUUAACAAAAAAUCCCCAAAUGUCAGAAACCUAAUUCAACCGAAUAAUUAACAGGAAAUGGCAGCGGUUGAGCGAUGGCUAUAGAGUAAGGAACUGGUGCUUCAUGAGCGGCCAGUAGCUUGCAACAAUAUUGAGUGAUGAUUGUCGAGUUUGGUGGCUUAGGGUCUCGGUCAACUGUGAGGCUGUAAGGGCUUGGGGUUUUUCUCAAUUAAGGAACUUUUUGAGGCUUCCACUGAUUUGUAAUGUAGAGUUGUGAGAGGCUUAGGGUUAGGGUUCAAUUAAUUCAGCGAUUAUUGGAGAGACAGGGAGCGUGCUUGAGAGUGAAGGAGUAGAGCUUGCUUAUCAAUUCGUUCAUCACUCACUGCAAAUUUGCCAAGUUUUGAUAUGUUAGCUUAAUAUAUUUACAAAACCAAACGACACCAAUUAUUUUAUUAUUUUUUUAAUUUUUAAAAUUAAUUAAAUAUCAACAAUGGCAAUUUUCUAAUUAAACAAAUCUUAAACAAUUUUAAAAUAUCAAUUUCGUCCGUUAUUAGUAAUUCAUAAAUAAAAUAAUAUUUAAUCAAACAAAAUAUCAAGCACUGGCAGUUGGUAGCGGUAUUUUUGUAAUUAAAUAUUUAAAAAAAAAACAAAAAAUAUUGCCUGUUAUGUAAUGUACUUAUCAUAACUUCAUAUUGUAUCUGCAUCAGUCAUGAAUCUAUCAUUAAAUAAUCACGGAAGCAUUAUAUGUUACCGAAAUAUUAUAUUUUCACGAUAAAAUGAUAUAUGUCAUAAAAUUUUUGUUAUAAAAAUAUAUGAUAAUUAUUUACCGACCAUCUAUUUUUUUAAAAUAUAUAAAUUUUAUUUUAAUUUUUUUGCAACAUUCUAUUUAAAGUUAACAUUCUCUUCACUCGUCUAUUUCCGGCGUAACGCAUUUAAUGGAUUUAACAUAAAAUUAAUCAAGUAUUUUUUUACCCAUAAUUGUAAAAUUUUUAUUUUUCUUAAAUAAAUGCCAAAAGUAUAUGAGUAUCAUUUAAAAUUUCCCAAGCUCAAUACGGCAUCGUAAAAACCCUACAAAACCUUCGUUCCCAUCCUUGAGCCUUGAGCCUUGAGCCUUGAGCCUUGAGCCUUGAACAAUAUGAGCAAAAUGAUUUUUUUAGAAAAAAACCAGGGAUAUCAAUUAAUAAAAAUUUAAAUCUAACCAAAAAAUCCUAAUAUAUAAAAGUAAAAUCUUAACAUAUGUCCAAAAGCAAAAGAAUAGAAUUUUAAUUUCAAUUUAGAAUUUUAUUUCAUUUUCAAUUUUCAAUUUUAUUUUUCCUAAGUGAUUUUGAAUAAUUACUACUACUAUAAAUAGUUAUCUCUUAUAGCCUUUGAAGACAUAUUCAACUUCAAUAAUAUUUUAAUUUUCAAAUCUCUUUGUGAGUAUUUAAAUAAUUAAUUUUUAAUAUUCUACGAAAUCAUCGAAUCUUAAUUUCUAAAUCCGCAAUAUUCUUUUAAAUCAAUAAAAAAUUUAAUUAUUUAUUUAUUUUGAUAUUCUCUCAAAUUAAAAUAUUUUAAAUAUUAAAAUUCCGCUCCAUCAAUCACUCGCAAACGCAAUUAGCCCAGCCCAACAUGCGAAAGUGAAAUCGCCUGCAGUUCCAGUCAAUUGAACGUCUUGUCGUUUAUGCUAAAUGUCGUUUCUAAGUUUCAUUUACCAACGACAAAACGAUUUAUCUUUUACCUGAAAGUCCAAGCAUAGCGAGCGAGUUGUUUUACAAAUGGGACAGUUGUCCCAACGAUAUUCACAAACAAUCCCAUUUCAUGGCCCGAAGAACAAACCCAACGACAUAUGAAAGCAUCAACCUUUACUGGAGUAGGUCGAUUGAAAUGAUAGAAGCCGAAGAAGUAAAUGAAACAGGAAUAAGAAGCGGAAGCAAGUAAGCAGAGCAAGUGGCCAUGAAAACAGCUACAUUACCAUUUGGUGGCUUUGGGCAUUCUUAUUUACCUUCAUCUUCAUUCAAGAUUGUUAUUGUAAUGGCAAAGAGCAACAAAAAGUCCCGAUCCUCUUCUUCUUCUUCUAAGGUUCUUUCCACCUUUUUUUGUUUGAAUUCACAAUCUUCUCUUGUUUGAUGGCAAAGUUGGUCCUUUUUAGUUUUUUUUUUUUGUUUUUAAUGAAUUGAAUUUAGCGUUUCAUAGACUCUCCUUUAAAGGGUUUGUGUGAUGUAGUUCAAUAAGUUUUGGAUGCGCCGAAGUAGUUAAUUUUAGUUAUAUGUAGUGUUUGUUUAGCUCAUAUGGGUGUCUUAAUUUUUCAUUUUUCUUAUAUAUCAACAGUCUUCAGUUGUUGGCUGCUCUUGAUGACCGUUUUAGUUUAUUUAAUAUAUUCUUAUUGAAUAAUCAUAAUAAUAUGUGAUGCAAAAUUGUUUAUCAGGUGGUUUACAAUUGUAAGCAAAUAUAUAGAAGCUGAAACUGAUCAUUAUACUUUUAGUGAUUGCUGAUGCCUGUAGAGGUAGAUUUCUGACCCAGAAAGUGCCUUACACGAUCAUAUCAGCCUUGUUAAUGGAAACACAAAAGAGAUUAUGGAAGGUUGGUUUUAUAUUGACAUAUCUAAAACCAGCAUCAGUUUUUAUCUUUCAUCUUAUUUAAGUUUGCCUUUGUAGGAGUUUCAAAGGAGCAAGUCUAGCACGCCUAGGCCUUCAACUAGUUACCGCAGGAAAAAGGUUGAGAAGGAGGAAUUGCCAGAAGAUACAGAGCUUUACCGUGAUCCUACCACAACCCUUUACUAGUAAUAUACUCUUCACGUUUCUUUUAUUUGCCUUGUUUGUUGUUUCAUUGAUCCCCUCUUUACCUUCUAUUAAAGGAAUUUUCUCUUUUAUUUACAGUACAAACCAGGGUAUAGAUAAUGCUGUUCCUGUCUUACUUGUUGAUGGGUAUAAUGUUUGUGGCUAUUGGCCAAAGCUGAAGAAACAUUUUAUUAAAGGAAGGUUGGAUGUUGCUCGUCUGAAGCUAAUUGAGGAACUUGUGGAAUUUAGUAUGAUAAGAGGUUUGUAUUUUUUAUCUCUGUUUUAUUCUAUAAGAGGCUUCUCUGUAUGUUGCAAUCGAUUAAAUGUGAUGCUGCCUUGCUUGGCUAUAACAAAAUGAUGUAUAAAAUACCAUAAUUGAAAGAUAUAUUUCUGCUGCUUAACUUGUGAUUGGAUAUACUUUAAUAGUAGGUGUCUUCAAGAAGUGAUAUCUUGAAAAUUAAACACUGCUCCCAAUGCUUUUUUUUUUCUUUGGAAGGAACUGUUCCCUAUGCUUAGUUUCGUACUUUAUUAAGUUUUGCUAUCAAAGUUUCUUCUUUGGAGGUUAUCCCCAAAGAUCUAUGAUUGCUUUAAUGUUUCAUAGUAGUCUCAAGUUAAAAGUUAACUGUGUCAAAUUGUCAAAUAAAGUGUUAGUAGAUGAACAAAAUGAAGCAAAGACAGAUGGAUUUUCUAGAUUUGACCAUAUGGUCUUUCUCCUCUUAUUUUUCCAACCAGAAAUUUAACAGCACUGAAGCCAUAAGUUAAAGAAAUGUAAAGAUUUAAAAAAAAAAAAAAAGAAAGAAAGAAAAAGGUGCAACUAUUAGUUUUCAUACAUGCAUUUUGCAACCUUUAAAUUAUAGGAUAUGUUGUUGACUCAAAUUCGACUCAAAUUGUAAUCCUAAUACUUGGUUGUUAAUUGUUUUCUUUCUGUUGAUGUUGCAACCACAUUUUAUGAUUUCUGAAAUAUUUACAGAGGUGAAAGUGGUCGCUGUGUUUGACGCCUUGAUGUCUGGACUGCCAACACACAAGGAAGAAUUUAUUGGGUAUUAUUUGUGAACCUAAACCAUGCUUCCAUCAUUUUCUAACUCUUUUAUUCUUGAGAUUCAAUUCUGUCUGCAGAAUUGUUUGUUUUCUUUGAUAUCCUACUGCAAAAUGUCCUUUGUAUCCACUUAGUAUACAUAUGUUACAUAUACACAUUUCUUGUUGGUGGUAAUUUUUUACAUAUACACAUAUCUUGUUGGUAGUAUUUUUGGACACAUAAAAGGUUCCAUGAUCCUGCUGUGCAUAUUGGGUGGUCAGAUUGAAUGGGGCUCAGUCGUGAUUUGCUACUUUUACUUUUCCACAAUUUAUUUAAAUCUGACUUUAUCUUUGUACCCUUGACUGGAAAUUCAUGAAUUGGGCUUCUGAUGGUAAAAUGAACUUGUUAGAUAUCUAGUAUUAUUUUCCACCUAUGUCUAUCUAUUCAUGUAUAAUAAUUACUCAACAGAUUAAAUUUUUUAUGAUUUUGGUAUAAACUAGGAAAAAAAAAUUACCUUAUAAUUGUUAGAAGCUUCUCUUGGCAAGAAAAGCAGAGGAGGCCAUAUAUCUAUCUAUGUUAUUAACCCCAAGAAGUGGGUUAAUUAGUACUGGUUAACUAUUGAAUUUUUUUAUGUUCUACUUAACUGAAAUUUCCUUGCAAUUUAUACUUUGUUUGAAACCUGUGAUAUUAAGCGUUCAUAAUGGUGCAGCGUUGACGUAGUGUUCUCUGGAGAAACGUGUGCUGAUGCAUGGAUUGAAAAAGAGGUAAAAAAUAAUAAUAAAUAAAAUAAAAUCUUAGACUUCCUGCUUCACAACGUAAAUGAUAGAAUUUUUCAGUUUAAAACCUGCGGAGUAUAUAACCACUACGUCCAUUAAUCCUGUCGAAAAUUGAUUUUAUGGGAUAAAUGAUUUUGAUCUCCGCUUCUAUGCAUAAUGGUAAUGACUCCUUUUGUAUUUUGUCCUUUGCCAAAAAGCCUUUUCCCCAGAUCAAUUUUUUUUUUCUUUGAUUGGAUCUCACUUGACUCUCUGUUGCUCACAUUGCAUAUUGAGGUAGAAAUUUUGUAUAAAUUUAUUGGCAUUCAAUCAGAAUAUCUGCUGUACGGCCAAGGCGGAUGUACGGUACAGCAGAAUUGAGAUAUAAUUAUCUUUUCCCCCAGAUUAUUUACUUUAAAUUAUGAAUAUAUCCUUCUUAAUGAUAGGAUGAUAAAAAAUGAUGAAUAAUAGAUAAAAUUAAAAUCAAAUUUAUUUUCUUCCGGGGCAAAUUAUGCAAAAUGAAAAAGUCAAAUCGUAACGUGGUACUGUGGGAAUUAUUAUGCUAUGCCUUCUGUUUGUAUAUCAUUAGGCUGGUAUGAAGUGUGAUUUUACUGCUGUUUUCUGAUUAGCAGGCUGGAAUCAUGUUUGUGUGACAGAUAGUAGCUUUGAGAGAGGAUGGAUGUCCCAAAGUUUGGGUUGUGACUUCUGAUCAUUUGCAGCAGCAUGCAGCAUAUGGAGCGGUAUGCUCUUUACUCUUGAGUUUUUUACAGUAGUGCUUGAUAAUAAAUUUAUACAAAUUUCUGACAAGUCUUUUUAUCUUGAAUCCGAUAAGGUGUCAAGAUGUUAGUGGGGCUAUUAGGGCAUGCGCAGGGCGGUUCGAUAGCGACUGUUCAUGUCCUUCAAUUUUAUUUUAUGUAAUAAGUGCCAUUAUGGCAUUACCAAACUUCACCGAUUGAAUAUAUUAUGUAUACUUUUGAUGAAAGUGAAUGCAUUCUUCAAACUUGAAAUUGGAAUAUUUUUUGUAGUUAUUUAAGAUCACAUUUCUUCAAAACAUAUCUAGGCAUUUAUAGUUCAAGGUUAGAAGCAAAUUAAUGGGGGAAGAUUUAAAUUAAUGAAGAUAAUGGUGAUAAAUAUACGUAUAAUCUAAUUAGCAGUUUGCUUGAGAAAUUAUGGGUGAAGAAAAAUAUACCAAAUCUAGUGCACGCGCUGCGCUGUACACAAGUUCAAUUUAGGCACAAAGAAAAAAAAAUUACUUUAUAUGCAUAAUUUAUUAAGAGUUGAAUUCAAAUAAUCGAAGUUGUAAGAAAAACUCUACUUGAUGUUAUGAAUUUUGUAUUUUAUUCAUUAAUAUUUUUUUGUCAAUUUAUUUUUCAUAGGGCCUUAAAGGUGUGUGUGUAGUGAAAUCAUUAAUUUAGUACACUGGCCUAUUUCAAGAUCGGAUGAUUUUAUUAUUUAAUCAAGAUUUUACAGUGUAAAAGCACUUUUAUUGUGUUUUGAACAUUUAUAUAAUAUAUUUGGUAUUAUACAUUAAGAUUUAUCUUUAUUAUUAUUAUUAUUGAACUCUUACCUAUUUGCUUAAUUUAUUUUUUAUUUUUUAGUUUAUAGAGAGUUUCUCUAACAAUUAUAUGUAUAAGCAGUAGCUAAGCUAUUUUAAUUAGUAGCGUCAGCACGACAAGCUAAAAGUCAUUUAUCAAUCAAUAUCCCUAAAAAAUCCCAACUGCCGGCAAAUUAAUACAUAUCAUCACCCUAUCGUAUUGACAACAAAAUGCGAGCAACGUCCAGGUUAUUACAACAAUAAUUUUAGCACACAUUCAAUCAAGUGAAUGAUAGACAUAUUUUGUGUAGAUUCAAUUAAAUUCAUUUAACUUGACCCCAACAAGAAAAAGAGAAAAUUUGUUUGCUUCUAAUGAAAAUUAAUUAAAUGAUAGCAAUAGUUUGUAUGAUUGUAUGUCAGUGUAGUUUUUUCUUGAAGAAAAAGAAAAAAAAAUCUAAUAAAAAUGACAAUUGGGUGGGCGGCUCAAUAAAAACAUGGUCGGUGAUAUUCGGUAAGCCCUGCGGGUAGCCACCAUCCAGCCAGUUUGCCUUUUCCCGUAUAUUUAUUACUUGAUUUUACACAGAGUUUUCACUAUCCGUUUAGCUCAAAUUCUUAUGUGAGAGUGAGACCACAAAAGUUUUGCAAGGCAAAAAGAGACAAGAGGAAGGGUUACAUGAGAACCGCCAAAUUUGCCAAGGCCACGGGAUAUUUGUGGUCAAUGUUCCACAAAAUACAACUUAACUCAACUCAACUAACCCACAAAAUAGCCGUGGGGCCAUUCAUUUGCUGAUUUUCCAGCUGCUUAAUUUGGCUCCAUAUGAUCUCGUGCCAUCUUAUAUUCUUUUUAUGCGGGCAUUUGCCAUCUUAAAUUCUUUAGAUUACCCAUAAUUUCUACAUACCUGGGACUAAAAUUACUUGAAAUUCAUACAUGUCUUAGAUAUUUUUAGCAGAAGACGAGGUGAUGAGUGGCAGCAGUUUCCCUCUGCCUCAUGCGAUUGUAUGGCUUAGUGCGAUUUAUACCUACCUUUGCCUUCAUUUUCAUGACCCUUUUGUUUUUUAACUAACUGAAAUUACACUAAUUCAUGAUCUGACUUUGCUCCGAUGAAAUUGUAUUUGGAUAAUUGGUGGUUAAUAUAAGCGUAAAUAAAUCUUAUUCAUAUAUUAAUAUUAAUAGAUUGCCAUGUGACAUAAGAUUUUACAAAUUCAGGAGAGCUCAAAUUGUGAAUAAAAUUCCAAUUGGAUAUGUGGAGGCAUUUGAAUAUAUGACUUUGAUUCUUUAAAAAAAAAAAAAUUAUUUAUAUAUGUAUACAAUCAGUAUGUCAUUUGAAAACUUUGGUUAAUCUACUAUGUUAAGCAAUUUUUUUUUAUAAAAAAAAGACUAAGCUACUGAUUUAAUAUAAUUCUCUACCUUUUUUAUUUGAUUUAAUAUAAUACUCUACCUUUUUUUAUUUAAUAUAUAUGAGUCUCUAUCUCUUUUAUUUUAUUAUGAUAAGCAUGAGUAAAAAUUUAUUCAUUUGGUAAUGUUCAGGUCAAAGAGGAUAAUCAUCAGAAUCCAACUACUAAUUUAGAUGGAUCCUCUCUAGUGAUUCCAGCAAGUUCGAGCACAUAGUACGGAGCUAUGUAAAUCGAGAUUAAGACCUGUUAAUGCAUAAUAAGUAUAACCUAAGUAGGUAAUUAUUCAAAUUUAUCAUAAUUUAUUUUGAUUUUUGAAUUGUACAGAAAAUUAAAUAUGAAGAAGACUUUAUAUACAGCAAUAUGAUUAAUUGUGUUUUAAUUAAUUAUCAAAAUUGUAUAGGAAAAUGAUCAUAACCCCCUCAUGCUUGGCGUAAUUAACUAUUCUUCCUUCAUAAGUUGAACAAUAAAAUCCCUGACGUUAUAGGUUUAAAAAUCCCUAGACACUUUUGGAGGACUAUCUAUUCUUUUUGUAACAGACAAUUGAUAAAUGGAUUUUAAACACUAAUUAAUUUCGAGGGAUAUUAUCAAAUAUAAUACCUAGCAAAAUUAUUUUUUUGACAUAUCAAUUUAUCAACGAGAUUUUUUUAUAAUUAUGUUUUACCAUCUAAUGUUUUGGUUGUUACUAUUUAUCGCCAAAAUCUUAACACUAUUAAAAAAUUGUUGAGGUCACAAGAGUAUUUGAUAAAUUUCAAACUGAAGCUAUUUUUCUAUUUUCUUAAUUCUUUUAGAGAUUUUUAUCUUUUUCCUCUAGACAUCUGAUUUAGAGCCUUUUAUUUUUGUUUUAUUUAUUUCAAUUAUUAGAAUUUUAUUAUGAUUUUAUAUUAUUACAUUUAAUUGGUUUAAUUAUAAUUGAACUUAAUAUGGUGAAAUUUAUUUGUACAAGUAAAAAUAAUAUCACAAAUUAGUUUCUCUAUGGAUGCAUGAAAAUUUUCAGUUACUGUCACUAUCAGAAAACCUAAAUUCAAUCGCAGGAAUAUCUUAAAAUAAUAAAAUUUUAAUAACUAAAUUAAAGAAAAAGAAUAAAAACGACUCGUACAUCUAAUUUCUUAAAAUCAAAAAAAAAAACUACAAAAAUAAGAAAAUGACUUCAUCUUGAAAUUUCUUAAAUACCUUUGUGAUCUCAAUAAUUUUUUAGUAGUGUUAAGAUUUUGAUAGUAAAAUGAUAGCAGACAGAAUAUUAGGUGGUAAAAUGUAGUUAUUAGAAAAUCUUGAUGGUGAAUUGAUAUGUCGGGGAACUUCUAGUGAUGAUUUGAUAAAAUCCCUUAUUUCACUGUAAAAUUAAAAACAAGAAAAAGGAAAGUCAAUAGUUAAUAAAACAUUCAUUGACAGUAGAGGGUUUUGUUGUUUCCAAAACUAAGGGUGUACUGUAAAUAGUUAAUUUCUCCUGGCAGUAGGGACAUUUUACUUACCUUAAAAAUUUUGUAUUCCUUCAUGGCACAUUUAGUCCAUUUUUGUAAUGGAAUGAAUUUUUCAUUAAGUUGUAAAUCUUUAGCUGUGAAGUAAAGGUGAGUAUUUACUAGGCGAUUGAUAUAACAGUUGUGUUUUCAUAAUCAAACGGCGGCACAAUAGUUGUUGCUAUCUCACAACACAAAUGUAAAUUAAGAAAGCGCUAAACAACUAGAGAACUUGGAAAGAGGCAAUAUAAUUAUGUGUGUGUAUACAUAUAUACACAUACAUAUCAUUAAUGUUGUUUAACCACACGACUUAACAUCGUACCUCGCAUCUAAGCAUGAUUAUAUGUUUUAAAAAAACUAUUAAAACAUAUGAUUUUAUAACAUUAUAUCAUUAUACUAUUAAACCAUGUGGCUUAAUAGUUUUCAUGGACGUUACAAUAUUAAAUCAUAUAAAUAGUUUUCAUGGACGUUACAAUAUUAAAUCAUAUAACUUAAUAGCUUUUCCACACUAACAAAUUUAAUAUUUUGGAUUGGGACACACACACACAUGUAUAGGUGUUGUGCCCUUAUUUAUUUAUUUAUUUAUUUUGAAAUGUAAACAUGUUGUUUAAUAGUUUUCUUUACUGACUCUAUUAAACUGUAUGAUUUAAUAGUAUGUUCACAUGAAAAAAAAAUGAAGGCACCCACAUUAGAGAAGAACUAUAAUAUUAAACAAAAUAAUCUAACAAAUAUUGUUAAUUAUUAUUUUUUUUUUUAUGAACAACUACACAAACGGAGUGAUUCUAAGAAAGCUUGUGAAGCGAGUUGAGGCUGCAGACUAUGAGACAUAUUAAUUUUCUACAAUUUACCUUUUGUUCAUUAUAUUAAAGUCCCAUUAUUUUUAUUACUAUUCUUUAUGUUUGCUAUUCCGCACGAAUACGUAUCCCUAACGUAUUAGUUGUCGCUUCUUAGAAAUUUUAUAAAUAUCAAUAAUUAAUAUCAUUAUUCAAUCAUUUAGAAAAACCUGAGCAUUAAUUAGUUUAUCUCUGAAUUAAAACUAGACACAUGUAAAUAUGUGAACUCUAAUUAAAUCUUGAUACUUGUAAUAUAUAUGAGCCAUAUCUAAAAAGGAAAUUUCAAUUUCUACUUCCAUUUUUUAAAUGCCAGGUCGAUGUACAUUAUCUAUGCAUGUACUGAAUAGGAAGCAACACAUGAAGAUGCAUUCUUUUUGCUAGACACUGAUUUUUAAUUUUCAUUUUUUUUCCAAUUAUUCAAAGGUGCCUGGUCCACGCAUGUCCGGUUCGUCAAGCAGACAAGCACAAUCAUGUGAAACUUGCUGAAUUAUUGAUGGUGGUGGGGGCUGCCUCUGGCUUAUGAGUUUGAAGAUUUGUAAAGGGAAGGUUCGUAGUAGAUACAUCCCAUUCUCUACUUAUUGAUGGUGGUGGGGGCUGCGAUUUUAUAUUCAUUGAAUCUGGUAACAAGUGGUGGUGACUGGUGAUUGGUGAAUUGCCAAAAUUAUUAAAAGAAAAAUUGCACACUAUCCUUUUUUUCAUUUUUUAUUCUUUAUUUUACUAUUUCUAAUCGGUCCCACAAAAAAAUAUUUUAUUAUUUUUUACCGAUCCCACAAAAGAAAAAUUCGAAAAGUGAACGCGUUUUCUGUCGUCCCUUCGUCGGCUUUCGUUCGUUUUCAGUUUUCACCGUCCUUUUUUUCAUUUUUUAUUCUUUAUUUUACUAUUUAUAGUCGGUCCCACAAAAGAAUAUUUCAUUUUUUCCAAUUAUUAAUCGACUUGUUAUUUCAUUAUAUAUAUAUAUAUAUAUAUAUAUAAUAAAUGAGUCGAAUUUAUGUUCAGCUAAAAUUUUAUUGUAUUUGACACGACUGUAAUGUAACAUGAUGGUAGGAAUUACCAUUGUGAUUUUAAAAAAUUAUAGUGUUUAUAAUUUGAGUCUUCGUCUUAGCAUUGCAAUUAAUUCAAUAAAUGAAGUAAUUAUAUGGCAAAAGGAGAGAGAGAGAGAAACGUUUUAGUUUAACUUUGUUUAUAAGUUUGAAGAUUUGUAAAGCGAAGGUUCGUAGUAGAUGCAUUCCAUUUUACUCUUUAUUCAGUAUUUACCCAGACACUGGAUUAAUGUUGUUGAUUUGAUAUACGAUUUUAUAUUUAUUGAUUCUAAUAACUAGAGGUGGUCACUGAUGAUUGGUGACUCACUAAAUUAUUAAUGGGUGGUGGGCUCUCCUUUUAUUUUCACUUUCCUGGAAUAAGCAACAAGUGGAAGACUUGUUACAUGCACUUUGCUCGACUCUCCAUGCUUACUGUUCAAUUUUCUGAUUCUGCUUUCCAUAACCCAUAAUUCUGCUCCUUUCUUCCUUUGCCCAAAAAAAAAGAAAAAAAUGUCAAUCAUCGGAGAGGCAAUCCUUACGGCGUCCGUUGAUUUGCUGGUCAAUAAGUUAGCUUCAGAGGGGAUUCUGUUUUUUGCACGCCAAGAGCAAAUCGAGGCCGAUCUGAUGAGGUGGGCGAAUAUGUUGGAGAUGAUCAAGGCGGUGCUUGAUGAUGCUGAGGAGAAGAAGACGACUAAUCAGUUUGUGAACAAGUGGCUUGGCAAGCUUCAGAACUUGGCUUAUGAUGUUGAAGACUUGUUGGAUGAGUUUCAAACUGAGGCUUUCCGGAGGAGGUUGCUGCUUGGGAAUGGAGAACCAGCUGCUGCUCAUGAUCAACCCAGUAGCAGUCGUACAAGACCAAGCAAGUUUAGGAAGCUCAUUCCUGCUUGCUGCACCACUUUUACUCCACAAUCGAUUCAGUUCGAUUAUGGCUUGAAGUCCAAAAUCAAAGAGAUCAGCAGCAGAUUUCAAGAAAUUGAAGAAGGAAUACGCUCGCUGAAUUUGAUAAAAAGUUUAGCUGGGGGGUCCAAAAAAGCCAGGCAAAGGCAAGAGACAACCUCUUUGGUGGAGGAAGCCAAAGUAUAUGGCAGGGAAACAGAAAAGAAGGAAAUUGUUGAAUUGUUGUUGAAGGAUGAUUCAAGAAAGGAUGGUGGAUUCUCUGUUAUUCCUAUUCUAGGUAUGGGCGGGCUGGGUAAAACCACUCUUGCUCAGGUUGUCUACAAUGAUAAGCAGGUGGAGGAUCAUUUUAAUCUCAAGGCAUGGGCUUGCGUCUCCGAUGAUUUUGAUGUUAGCAGGCUUACAAAAUCAAUCCUACAUUCAAUUGCUAGUGACCAGAAUGUGGAUAAUCACGACUUGAAUAAGCUUCAAGAGGAGCUAAAGAAACAACUAUUUGGAAAGAAAUUUUUGCUUGUUUUAGAUGACGUUUGGAAUGAGAAUUACAAUGACUGGGUUCAACUCAGCCUUCCAUUUCAAGCUGGCGCGAAGGGAAGUAAGAUUGUUGUCACUACUCGCAAUCAACAGGUUGCAAAAAUCAUGAGGCCGGAUCAAGCUUAUGAAUUGAAAAACUUGUCAACUGAGGAUUGUCUGUCUGUGUUUGCUCAGCACUCUUUGGGGACAAGAGAUUUCAGUUCACACAAGUCAUUGGAGGACAUUGGCAAGAAGAUAGUGAUCAAAUGCAAUGGCUUGCCCUUGGCAGCAAAAACACUGGGAGGACUUUUAUGUGGAGAACAUGACAGAGGUGUGUGGGAAGAUGUGCUCAGUAGCAAGAUAUGGGAAUUACCAGAAGAUAGAUGUCCCAUUAUACCAGCUCUUGCAGUGAGCUAUUAUUAUCUUCCUCCAAUUUUGAAACAAUGCUUUGCAUACUGCUCAUUGUUUCCUAAGGAUUAUGAAUUUGAAGAUGAGGGGAUAAUUUUAUUAUGGAGUGCUGUGGGUUUCUUGGAUCACGGAGAGGGGGGGAAUCCUAGUGAAGCUCUAGGUCGAAAGUUCUUUCAAGAGCUACGUUCAAGAUCUUUCUUCCAGCAAUCAAGCAACAAUACAUCACGAUUUGUGAUGCACGACCUUAUCAGCGACCUUGCUCAAUGGGCUGCGGGGGAGAUAUACUUCACAAUGGAGUAUACCUCGGAGGUUAACAAGCAACAGAGUUUUUCCAAAAAUCUUCGUCAUCUAUCGUACAUUCGUGGAGAAUGUGAUGGCGUUAAACGGUUUGAGGGCUUGUACGAUAUCCAACAUUUGCGAACAUUUUUACCAGUAAAGCUGUCAAAUAGUUGGGAUGGAGACUUGGCUCGUAGCAUUCUUCCUAAGUUGUUCAAACUCCAACGCUUGAGGGUCUUCUCCUUGUUUGGAUACCACAUCUCUGAGCUACCAAAUUCAGUAGGUGAUUUGAGGUAUUUAAAGUACCUUAACCUAUCUGGAACUGAAAUUAGAACUCUGCCUGAAUCAGUGAACAAGCUUUACAAUUUGCACACACUUUUGUUGGAGGACUGUCGGAAACUGAAGAAGUUGUGUGCAGAAAUGGGAAGCCUCAUCAAAUUGCAUCAUCUUAAAAAUUCAAAUACAGAUUCCUUGGAGGAAAUGCCACUAGGAAUUGGUAAUUUGACUUGUCUUCAAACGUUGUGUAAUUUUGUUGUGGCAAAAGACAGUGGUUCCGGGUUAAGAGAGCUGAAGUCGUUGACUCAUCUUAAGAGGACACUUAAAAUUUCAAAAUUGGAGAAUGUAAAAUGCGUUGGUGAUGCCAUGGAGGCUCAAAUGGAUGGAAAGAAGAAGAAAAGACAGUGGUUCGGGGUUAUCAGAGCUAAAGUUGUUGAUGCAUCUUCGUGGGGCACUUGAAAUUUCAAAAUUGGAGAACGUAAAAGACGUUGGUAAUGCGAAGGAGGCUCGGUUGGAUGGAAAGAAGAAUCUUAAAGAAUUAUUGCUUCGAUGGACACGCAGUACCGAUGGUUCAUCUUCAAGGGAGGCAGAAACUGAAAUGGGCGUGCUUGACAUGCUAAAACCUCAUACAAAUCUGGAGCAAUUUUGUAUCAAAGGCUAUGAAGGUAUGAAAUUUCCAACUUGGUUGGGAGAUUCCUCAUUCUCAAAUUUGGUGACCCUAAAAUUUAAAAAUUGCGGCAUGUGCACUGCCCUGCCGUCUAUGGGGCAACUGCCCUCUCUAAAGCAUCUUACAGUGCGUGGAAUGAGCAGAGUAAAGAGAUUGGGUUCAGAGUUCUAUGGGAAUGAUCCUCCAAUUCCUUUUCUAUGCUUGGAGACUCUUCGUUUUGAAGACAUGCAAGAAUGGGAAGACUGGAUUCCCCAUGGAUCCAGUCAAGGAGUUGUUGAAGGGUUUCCUAAAUUGAGAGAGCUUCACAUUUUAAGAUGUUCUAAAUUGAAAGGAACAUUUCCAGAGCACCUUCCUGCAUUGGAGAUGCUUGUUAUUGAAGGAUGUGAAGAAUUGUCAGUUUCAGUUUCGAGUCUUCCAGCUCUUUGCAAAUUACAGAUUGGUGGAUGUAAAAAGGUUGUGUGGGAAAGUGCAACUGGUCAUCUCGGAUCUCAGAAUUCAGUGGUUUGUAGAGAUGCAUCAAAUCAAGUGUUUCUCGCAGGGCCAUUAAAGCCGCAACUGCCAAAAUUGGAAGAAUUGGAGAUAAAUGAUAUGAAAGAGCAUAAAUAUAUCUGGAAGAGUCAUAAUGGAUUACUACAAGACAUUUGCUCUCUCAAAAGAUUGACGAUUGACAGCUGUCCCAAACUUCAAUCCUUGGUGGCGGAGGAAGAGAAAGACCAACAACAGCAGCUCUGCGAGUUGUCAUGCAGACUCGAAUAUCUAAGAUUGAGAUAUUGCGAAGGCCUUGUGAAGCUGCCACAAUCAUCGCUCAGCCUGAGUUCCUUGAGAGAGAUAGAAAUCUGCAAGUGCAGUUCCCUUGUUUCCUUUCCUGAGGUUGCUCUGCCUUCCAAGUUGAAGAAAAUUAGGAUUAGCAGUUGUGAUGCACUGAAAUCGUUACCAGAGGCAUGGAUGUGCGACACCAAUUCAUCUCUCGAGAUCUUGGAGAUUUGGAUUUGCUGUUCGUUGACAUAUAUUGCUGGAGUCCAGCUACCACGGAGCCUUAAGAGGUUGCAUAUCUUGUUGUGCAAUAAUAUAAGGACUUUGACAGUGGAAGAGGGCAUCCAGUGUAGCAAUAGCAGCAGCAGCAGCAGAAGGUACACCUCAUCCCUUCUCGAGCACUUACACAUUGGCAAUUGUCGAUCUCUGACAUGUAUAUUUUCAAAAAACGAGUUACCUGCCACGCUUGAGUCCCUUGAAGUUGGCAAUCUACCUCCGUCUCUUAAGGUACUUGAUAUUUAUGGAUGUCCAAAGCUGGAGUCAAUAGCAGAAAGGUUGGACAACAACACAUCUCUUGAAACAAUCAGUAUUUUGUGUUGUGAAAAUCUGAAAAUUUUACCGAGUGGUUUACAUAAUCUCCGCCAGCUUCAAGAGAUUAGCAUAGAGAAAUGUGGAAAUCUGGAGUCCUUUCCCGAAGGGGGAUUGCCUUGUGCGAAACUGAGUAAGCUCAGGAUCUAUGGGUGUGAGAGACUAGAGGCCUUACCCAAGGGAUUGCACAAUCUGAAGUCUCUUCAAGAAUUAAGAAUAGGAAGAGGAGUUGAGCUUCCAAGCCUUGAAGAAGAUGGCCUUCCCACCAACCUUCAUUCACUGGAGAUUGAUGGUAAUAUGGAGAUUUGGAAGUCAACGAUUGAGUGGGGUCGGGGAUUCCACAGAUUCUCCUCUCUGCGAUGUCUUGCAAUCAGCGGAUGCGAUGACGACAUGGUGUCAUUUCCACUAGAGGACAAAAGAUUAGGGACCGCGCUUCCUCUUCCUGCCUGUCUAGCAUCCCUGAUGAUUGGUAAUUUUCCAAAUCUGGAACGCCUAUCUUCUUCAAUUGUUGAUCUUCAAAACCUCACUGAAUUGUAUCUCGGGGAUUGUCCCAAGCUCAAAUACUUUCCGGAGAAGGGCCUGCCUUCCUCACUUUUGCGAUUAUACAUCGACGAAUGUCCGUUGAUAGCAGAGAAGUGCAGAAAGGAUGGAGGACAAUAUUGGGACUUGUUAACCCAUAUACCCAGUGUUCUAAUAGAUUUAGCAAAGGAGGAGGACUCUAUUAAUUAAUUAAUGAAUUAAUUUCUCGUUAUCAGCGGUUGAAACUUCAGUUUCUUAUAUUUGUCUUUUCCGCGGUACGGUUACAUAUAUUUGUGUAUGUAAUUUUAAAAUUUAAAUCUCAGUUGAAAACUGUUUUAAAUUAAUAAAAAGAAAAAUGUUAAGUAGAGUAAGGGGCUCGCAUUAUUUCAGCAGCGGGGGACAUAUGUGUAUUAAUUAAUUAAUUAAUUAAUGGAUUAAUUUCUUAUGCGUAUCUCAUUCUAAGCUGUUGAAAUAAACUUCAGUUUCUUUUAUUUGGCUGUACAGUUACGCAUGUGUAAUAUUUCUCUUCAUCAGAUUUCGACAAAAAUUGUUAAUGUUUUUAUUAGUAAUUAAUUAGUAUGUUAGUGUUCUUCUUUUGUUCCAGAACAAUCUGCCUCUUCAGAACAAUCUGCCUCUUCAGCAAUAAUGUUACAAUGUUCUUUUGAUGUUGUUGUUUAGCAAAGUGGUUUUUUAGGUGCUAAUUAAACACACGAGGGCUAGGCCGUGUUACAAAAUUAUUUGUAAUCUUUAAUUUAAUUGUUUAUGUGCCAUCGCUAUUAAUAUUAAUCGAUAAAUAUAAUUUUAUCAGUUACUGAAUAUUUGAAUUCAUCAAAACUGUCAUAAUUGAAACGGAUCUUCAUAUUAACACAUCAAUAUGACAGAAAAAGGGAAUAUUUUUAAUGAAUUAAUUUCCUAUUGAGUAUGAAUGCGUAAUGUAUAAUGGCUAUCUCUUUCUUAGUUGUUGAAAUUAACUUCAUUUUUCUGUAUGGUUAUGUAUAACGAGAUUGAAAUUGUUUCGACCGGGUACAAUAAAAUAGUAAUGUGAGGUUCAUUCCGAUCAUGAUUUAUGAAAAUCACUUAAUAAUCAAAUCCGAUAACAACAAAAACAUAAAAAUCAAACGAGAAACAAUAUCCCCCACAACACCGACAAUAAAAUAUCAAAAACAAAACAAGCCAAGUGUUUGCCAAGAGAAAAUAUGAAGACCAACAAAGCAAAAUACGGUCACCACCAGAAUUACUUUUAAGCUAUAGUGGCCUAAAUUAAUUUUAAGGUAUGGUGGCCUUAAUAUCUUCACCAGAAGAAUUACCAACCGCGUCAUCAGCAGUAAUGUUAUAAUGUUCUUUUAAUGGUUUUGUAAAGUGGUUUUUGAUUGCCGAUUAAGCACUUGAAGGCUGGACUGCUGCAGUACAGAAUUAUUUAUACUCUCUAAUCUGAUACACUUUAAGCAAGUUCUUGAAUUAAUUGCUUCUGUGCCAUCGCUUUUAAUAUUUGCAAAUAUUGAUCAUCAUUAGCUCCUUUUGGGAUGUUAGAGAGCUUUGUUCAGAGAGAAAGACCAUAAAAACAGAGUACAUAACUUGUCAUAUAAAAAUAGUAUGUUCGCAUAUUACUCACAGUUAGCCAAGGCGCCGUCUGGUCAUAAUUGACAUAAGAGCUCAACCGUAAGUAACACAAUACACAAUCUGAAGAAUAGUUGCUUGAUCAGAAAGUCCAACUUUGUAGCUAUAAUUUUUUUUUUUUUUUUAGAAGUGUAGCUAUAAUAUGCUAUUUUCAUAAGACUUCGUUAAAGAUUGUUUUGUAAUUAAUUUCACACAACACAACCCUACAGAAAAUUGACCAAAACAAAAUGAAAUAUCAAGGCUGUAAUUAGCACUUGAUCAAAGGAAAAGAAGAAACAAAUGAAUUUGUAAGGAGUACUCCGAUACGUAUAUGAAUUUGUUUAGAGUUCUUUAUCAUAGAAAAAAUCAAUUGUAUGUCCUUCGUAUUUUCUCUAUAAAAACUUGCAAUAUAGACCAUUAGUUUGUUUUGAUAUUUACUGGAGUGAAUUGUUGUUUUUGUGAUUAUAAAAAAAUAUACUUCAGAGUUAUUUAUUUUUAUGUACAUAUAAAAUUGAAUUUAUUUUAAUGUGCACAAGAGUCAUUGGAAGGAUUUGCUCAUUAAUGGUUGGUUUGUGAAGUAAACUGACCAGAAAAUUUAUCAAAAGCACUUUAUUACAUCAUCUUCAUAUGUGCACUGAUGUAUAUUUACAUCAUCUUCAUACGUGCACUGAUGUAUAUUCUCCCUGAAUCCCAUAACAACAAAAACAGAAAAUCAAAAGAGAAACAGUAUCCCAGAAUGCCAAAAAAAUAUCAGAAACAAAAAUCAAACAAAGCAAUUCAAAAGCAUUUGCUUGUGAUGCCAUGACCAAGAAUGCUACUGCCAUAACAAGAAAUGGCAUUGCAAGACUGUAGAAUGCCACAUGUGCGAAUGAGAAGAACAUUACAAAUCAACAAUUCAAAAAAAAAAAAAGAAGAAUUUAAACCAGCUAAAAGGAUAGGCAUUAGGUAGAAUUUCACACGAAGAAUAAGACUAAGAAAAUUUAAGGUGAUUUGCAUUUAUAAUCAGCAAACGACUCAACAUAUCAGAAUGAGAAGAACAUUCAGGAAUCACCAGGCAGGACAAGAUCAAGGAGGCAACAAGGAAGCAUUUGUUUUGGCCAAAUAAAGUUUGCAGAUCUUUUAAUGCUAAUAUUAGUAAUAAAACCAUCACUGGGAUAUUGGUUUGGCAAUGUUUAAUUAAUGGCCCUGAGCUUUAUGAUCUUUAUUACAUAUGUAUUUAAUGCAACUACACAUACAUGUAAUAUGUACCUUGUAGGCUUAUUUAUUUAUAUUAAUAAUUAAUAUGAUCUUUUCAAACUUAGCCGAAGUUGUUGAACAUAAAAAUACUCAAAUAUUCAGUGUUCUUGAUUAAAUUAGCAUCAAUGGACAUAAUUAAAUAAAGAAAAUCGGAUUAUUACGAUGAUUGAUUCAGUUAGCUACAUUAGUGUUAUUUUUUAAAAAUGAUAUAUGUCGUAAAAUUUGUGUUAUAAAAACGUAUGGUAAUUAUCCACCGACCACCUAUUUUUUUAAAAUAUACAAAUUUUAUUUCAUUUUUUUUGCAACACUCCAUCAAAAGUUAACACUCUCUUCACUCGUCCACUUCCGUCAUAACGCAUUUAAUAGAUUUAACAUAAAAUUAAUUAAGUGAUUUUUUACCCAUAAUUGUAAAAUUGUUAUUUUUCUUAAAUAAAUGCCAAAAGUAUAUGAAUAUCAUUUAAAAUUUCCCAAGCUCAAUACGGCAUCGUAAAAACCCUACAAAACCUUCGUUCCCAUCCUUGAGCCCUGAGCCUUGAGCCUUGAGCCUUGAACAAUAUGAGCAAAAUGAUUUUUUUUAGAAAAAACCAGGGAUAUCAAUUAAUAAAAAAUUUAAAUCUAACCAAAAAAUCCUAAUAUCUAAAAGCAAAAUCUUAAUAGAUGUCCAAAAGCAAAAGAAUAGAAAAGAAAAGAAGAAGCAUAAUCCCAUCCAGAAAAACGAGAUGAACAGAUGACAACUAAUUUCCUUUUCAAUUUAGAAUUUUAUUUCAUUUUCAAUUUAGAAUUUUAUUUUAUUUUCAAUUUUCAAUUUUGUUUUUCUUUAGUGAUUUGAGAUAAUUACUACUAUUAUAAAUAGUUCUCUCUUGUAACCUUUGAAGACAUUUAACUUCAAUAAUAUUUUUAAUUUUCAAAUCUCUUUGUGAGUAUUUAAACAAUUAAUUCUCAAUAUUCUACGAAAUCAUCGAGUCUUAAUUUCUAAAUUCGCGAUAUUCUUUUAAAUCAAUAUAAAUUUAAUUAUUCGUUUAUUUCGAUAUUUUCUAGAAUCAGAAUAUUUUCAACAUUAAAAUUCCGCUCCAUCAACUACUCCUCUUCCUCCCAAACACAAUUAGCUCAGCCCAACAUGCGAAAGUGAAAUCGCCUGCAGUUCCAGUCAAUUGAACGUCUUGUCGUUUAUGCUAAAUGUCGUUUUUAAGUUUCAUUUGCCAACGACAAAACGAUUUAUCUUUUACCUGAAAGUCCAAGCAUAGCGAGCGAGUUGUUUUACAAAUGGGACAGUUGUCCCAACGAUAUUCACAAACAAUCCCAUUUCAUGGCCCGAAGAACAAACCCAACGACAUAUGAAAGCAUCAACCUUUACUGGAGUAGGUCGAUUGAAAUGAUAGAAGCCGAAGAAGUAAAUGAAACAGGAAUAAGAAGCAGAAGCAAGUAAGCAGAGCAAGUGACCAUGAAAACAGCUACAUUACCAUUUGGUGGCUUUGGGCAUUCUUAUUUACCUUCAUCUUCAUUCAAGAUUGUUAUUGUAAUGGCAAAGAGCAACAAAAAGUCCCGAUCCUCUUCUUCUUCUUCUAAGGUUCUUUCCACCUUUUCUUGUUUGAAUUCACAAUCUUCUCUUGUUUGAUGGCAAAGUUGGUCCUUUUUAGUUUUUUUUUGUUUUUAAUGAAUUGAAUUUAGCGUAUCAUAGACUCUCCUUUAAAGGGUUUGUGUGAUGUAGUUCAAUAAGUUUUGGAUGCGCCGAAGUAGUUAAUUUUAGUUAUAUGUAUUGUUUUUUUAGCUCAUAUGGGUGUCUUAAUUUUUCAUUUUUCUUAUAUAUCAACAAUCUUCAGUUGUUGGCUGCUCUUGAUGACUGUUUUAGUUUAUUUAAUAUAUUCUUAUUGAAUGAUCAUAAUAAUAUGUGAUGCAAAAUUGUUUAUCAGGUGGUUUACAAUUGUAAGCAAAUAUAUAGAAGCUGAAACUGAUCAUUAUACUUUUAGUGAUUGCUGAUGCCUGAAGAGGUAGAUUUCUGACCCAGAAAGUGCCUUACACGAUCAUAUCAGCCUUGUUAGUGGGAACACAAAAUGAGUAAGAGUAACUAUAUGUUCUUGAGGAGCCAAAAAUAGGGUGUUAUUUUGUGCUUCUCUUAAUCAAGUUCUGCAGCAAUAGAAAAUGGGGAUCAUAAUAUUUGGUUUAAAGGCGUUUUUUUAAUUUUGUGCCAAAUUAUUGUAUGUUCCAGAGUAGGAGCAGUGUUUGAUCCAUAAUUUUUUUUCUUUAUAUUUGUAAAUACUUUUAUCUCUUUUUUUUUUUUUGGUUGGUUCAUAUUUAGGUUGUCUCUAACUGGCUUUUUGGUGAUAGGAUUCAGAGCCGACACCUCCAAGAAUUACAUCUAAUGUGAAGCAAAAUUUGCAGUUCUUGAGAUUAUGGAAGGUUGGUUUUAUAUUGACAUAUCUAAAACCAGCAUCAGUUUUUAUCUUUCAUCUUAUUUAAGUUUGCCUUUGUAGGAGUUUCAAAGGAGCAAGUCUAGCACGCCUAGGCCUUCAACUAGUUACCGCAGGAAAAAGGUUGAGAAGGAGGAAUUGCCAGAAGAUACAGAGCUUUACCGUGAUCCUUUACUAGUAAUAUACUCUUCACGUUUCUUUUAUUUGCCUUGUUUGUUGUUUCAUUGAUCCCCUCUUAACCUUCUAUUAAAGGAAUUUUCUCUUUUAUUUACAGUACAAACCAGGGUAUAGAUAAUGCUGUUCCUGUCUUACUUGUUGAUGGGUAUAAUGUUUGUGGCUAUUGGCCAAAGCUGAAGAAACAUUUUAUUAAAGGAAGGCUGGAUGUUGCUCGUCAGAAGCUAAUUGAGGAACUUGUGGAAUUUAGUAUGAUAAGAGGUUUGUAUUUUUUAUCUCUUUUUUAUUCCAUAAGGGGCUUCUUUGUAUGUUGCAAUCGAUCAAAUGUGAUGCAACCUUGCUUGGCUAUAACAAAAUCAUGUAUAGAAUAACAACAUAAUUGACAGAUAUAUUUCUGCUGCUUAACUUGUGAUUGGAUAUACUUUAAUAUUAGGUGCCUUUAACAAGUGGUAUCUUGAAAAUUAAACACUGCUUCCAAUGCUUUUCUUUAUUUUCUUUGAAAGGAACUGUUCCCUGUGCUUACUUUCCUACUUUACUAAGUUUUGCUAUCAAAGUUUCUUCUUUGAAGGUUAUCCCCAAAGAUCCAGGGUGCCUUUGUCUGGAGUUCCAAGGCAUUGGUUUCUGAGGUCAGCUUGAUUAUCUAUUAUAUUUGUUGUUAAACUUGUCAUUCUUUCAUGCGUGGACAGUUUGUCAUUUCACUGGUCACUAUAAUCACAUUGUUGGUAUUUCUCUUGCUUUUCUUUUCUUCAUAAAAAAUUGAAGUUCUGAUUGAUAAGAAAGUUCGUAUUUUUGCUUAUUGAAUCUCAUUUUUCUAAGAAUUUAAUGACCAUCUGUGUACUACAUAUAAAAUAGUUUCAUAAGGUGUAGGAAUUCAUACAUCUACUUUCAGCUUAGUUAAGAAAUUUUUAUCUUUUGGGGGAGGUGGGAAUGGCCCCACCUCUUCUUUUUUUACCCUCCUAUUAUUAAAUUUAAUAUAAUUAUAUUUAAUAAAAUAAAAAAAAAUAACAAGAUUACAGAUCAGCAGGAAAAGCCCUCUUUCUAAAGCUAACUAUACAGAUUCUGCUGUACCGUACAUCCGCCUUGGCCGUACAGCAGUUUAUUUAAUAUUAAUAAUUAAUAAUAAUAAAUAGUUUAUUCUAAGAAAUAUUAAUUUUGUACUAAAUAAUAUUAUCAUAUUAUUAUUAUUUAAUAUAAUUAUAAUAAAUUUAAAUAAUAUUAUUAUAUUUAACUAAGUAUAAUUUACAUUGAUUCUAAGUUAAAAUUACUCAAAAAUAAUAUUAUUAUAUUAAUAGAGAAUUAAUAAUAUUACUAUAAACUAUCUUUAUUUAAAAAUAUAAUAUUAUUAUAUUUAUUUAAUAAUAAUAGUAUUAUAUUUAUUUAAUCUUAAUAAUUAAUAUUAAUAAAUAUUUUAAUUCCAAGAACAUUUUAAUUUUGUACUGUGUUAAUAGUAAAAAUGUUUCAUUUAUGUUGCCCUUAUCAAUAAUUUUUAAUUUACAUAACUAAAAUUAGAAUUAAUAAAAAUUUUGUUGUACAUAAUUAAGAAUUUAAUAUUAUUAUAAACCUUCAAAUAUAAUAAAAUAAAUAUUUUAUUCUUCAAAUAUAUUUUUUAUUAACUAUGCAAUUGAAAACUACAAUUUUUUACAUAAAGGUAAAAUUGUAAUUUGAAAAUAUUUACUCCUAAUCCAAAAAAAAGUAAACACAUAGAUUGGAUUCUGAUUUCAAUUCCAUACUUUCAUUCCAGUAUAAAUAAAUACCUACUCUCACUCCCACUCGACACUCCUAAUCCUAGGAUUCUCACUCUUCACGAUUCUCACUCCAAUCCAAAAUGUAAACGCUUCCUUAGUAUAAUAUUAGCAUUAUAUUAAUUAUGUUAUUAGCUUAUUAAAUAUAUACCUUUAACAAACGAGUCGAAUUUGUGUUAUUUAAAAUUUAGACGCGAUGGGAAUAUGAAUAUAACAUUACAUUACAAAUUGGCAUUGUUGAUUAUUAAAAACAAAUGCCGUGCAAAGGGCACUCAUAGUAAUAAGAAGAGAGAAUAAAAUCUUUUAAUUUAGCUUGCUUUAAUAAGUAAAAGAAUUGAUAAACUCUCUUUAAACUUUUGAAAUGAACCUGAAGGGACGGUAAGAGGAGAAGGAUGUAGCUUUAUUAAUGUAGAAGAAUUAUAUUCCUGACAAUCACAUUGCUUUCGUGUUCUCUCUGAAGUAGUGCCUAAUUAAUCAUGUUAAGCAAAUGCAAGAUUCGUGGUUCGGCUUUUAUUUAAUUUAAUAUGUAAAGUGAUCAAGAGCUCCACCGAUUUUAUAUUUGUAUUGGGCUUUGCCUUUUCUUUUCACUUUUGUGCUGGGUUUAAAUGGACAAUGAUACCUUAAUGUAUGUAUGAAUGUAUGUAUGUAUGUAUGUAUGUAUGUAUAUAUAUAUUUCAUUUGUUUUAAUAGUAAAUUUAUUUUUAAUUUAUAAUUACUAUUAUAUUCCUAUAAUAAAUAAAUCAAUAUAUUGAUCUAAGACAUGUCAUGAUGGCAUGUAUAAUAAAAUCAAUAAAAUUUUUAUUUAAAACCUAAAAUUGAGAUAUAAUUAUCUUUUCCCCCAGAUUAUUUACUUUAAAUUAUGAAUAUAUCCUUCUUAAUGAUAGGAUGAUAAAAAAUGAUGAAUAAUAGAUAAAAUUAAAAUCAAAUUUAUUUUCUUCCGGGGCAAAUUAUGCAAAAUGAGAUAUUAAACAUGCUUGUAUAUGAAUGAAAGGCAAUUGGGCAAAUCCCCAAAAAAAAAGUUUAGAAAAAUAUUAUAGGCUUUUACUCAGACCCUUGAAACCUUUACUGAUAAUACCAAAAACUCUAAUCCUUCAACAAAAGAAAGCAAGAAAAAAAGGUCCUAAGUUUAUUGUCUUUUAUUGGAUUUGUACCAAAAACUCUGAUCUGUUGGCUUUGUAUCAGUAUUGCUUGUUUGUUGUCUUUUAUUUCAUUAUUUAUAUCUAAGUUUAUUUCAAGAUUACAGAUCAGCAGGAAAAGCCCUCUUUCUAAAGCUAACUAUACAGAUUCUGCUGUACCGUACAUCCGCCUUGGCCGUACAGCAGUUUAUUUAAUAUUAAUAAUUAAUAAUAAUAAAUAGUUUAUUCUAAGAAAUAUUAAUUUUGUACUAAAUAAUAUUAUCAUAUUAUUAUUAUUUAAUAUAAUUAUAAUAAAUUUAAAUAAUAUUAUUAUAUUUAACUAAGUAUAAUUUACAUUGAUUCUAAGUUAAAAUUACUCAAAAAUAAUAUUAUUAUAUUAAUAGAGAAUUAAUAAUAUUACUAUAAACUAUCUUUAUUUAAAAAUAUAAUAUUAUUAUAUUUAUUUAAUAAUAAUAGUAUUAUAUUUAUUUAAUCUUAAUAAUUAAUAUUAAUAAAUAUUUUAAUUCCAAGAACAUUUUAAUUUUGUACUGUGUUAAUAGUAAAAAUGUUUCAUUUAUGUUGCCCUUAUCAAUAAUUUUUAAUUUACAUAACUAAAAUUAGAAUUAAUAAAAAUUUUGUUGUACAUAAUUAAGAAUUUAAUAUUAUUAUAAACCUUCAAAUAUAAUAAAAUAAAUAUUUUAUUCUUCAAAUAUAUUUUUUAUUAACUAUGCAAUUGAAAACUACAAUUUUUUACAUAAAGGUAAAAUUGUAAUUUGAAAAUAUUUACUCCUAAUCCAAAAAAAAGUAAACACAUAGAUUGGAUUCUGAUUUCAAUUCCAUACUUUCAUUCCAGUAUAAAUAAAUACCUACUCUCACUCCCACUCGACACUCCUAAUCCUAGGAUUCUCACUCUUCACGAUUCUCACUCCAAUCCAAAAUGUAAACGCUUCCUUAGUAUAAUAUUAGCAUUAUAUUAAUUAUGUUAUUAGCUUAUUAAAUAUAUACCUUUAACAAACGAGUCGAAUUUGUGUUAUUUAAAAUUUAGACGCGAUGGGAAUAUGAAUAUAACAUUACAUUACAAAUUGGCAUUGUUGAUUAUUAAAAACAAAUGCCGUGCAAAGGGCACUCAUAGUAAUAAGAAGAGAGAAUAAAAUCUUUUAAUUUAGCUUGCUUUAAUAAGUAAAAGAAUUGAUAAACUCUCUUUAAACUUUUGAAAUGAACCUGAAGGGACGGUAAGAGGAGAAGGAUGUAGCUUUAUUAAUGUAGAAGAAUUAUAUUCCUGACAAUCACAUUGCUUUCGUGUUCUCUCUGAAGUAGUGCCUAAUUAAUCAUGUUAAGCAAAUGCAAGAUUCGUGGUUCGGCUUUUAUUUAAUUUAAUAUGUAAAGUGAUCAAGAGCUCCACCGAUUUUAUAUUUGUAUUGGGCUUUGCCUUUUCUUUUCACUUUUGUGCUGGGUUUAAAUGGACAAUGAUACCUUAAUGUAUGUAUGAAUGUAUGUAUGUAUGUAUGUAUGUAUGUAUAUAUAUAUUUCAUUUGUUUUAAUAGUAAAUUUAUUUUUAAUUUAUAAUUACUAUUAUAUUCCUAUAAUAAAUAAAUCAAUAUAUUGAUCUAAGACAUGUCAUGAUGGCAUGUAUAAUAAAAUCAAUAAAAUUUUUAUUUAAAACCUAAAAUUGAGAUAUAAUUAUCUUUUCCCCCAGAUUAUUUACUUUAAAUUAUGAAUAUAUCCUUCUUAAUGAUAGGAUGAUAAAAAAUGAUGAAUAAUAGAUAAAAUUAAAAUCAAAUUUAUUUUCUUCCGGGGCAAAUUAUGCAAAAUGAGAUAUUAAACAUGCUUGUAUAUGAAUGAAAGGCAAUUGGGCAAAUAGGAAGUAAAAUUGGAGGGCUCACUCUCUUAAGUUAAGUAUAUUGAUUUAUUUAUUAUAGGGACAUGAUAGUAAUUGUAAAUUAAAAAUUAAGUUACUACUAAAAUAAACAGAUUUUACUAAUAAAAAAAGAGUUACAUGUCUUUUUUAAAACAUUAAAAGAUUCCAUAUUCCUUUUCUCAAAUGCUCACUGCUCUUUUCCCUUGCUCAAUUGAUUUCUAGAUUUGUUGGACCAUUCGCUAUCACAAACUCAUUGUGCUAAUUCACUCUCAUUUGCUUUAAUUUCCAUAAACUCAUAAUUCGGUUUUUUUCUUUGCCCAAAAAAAUUAAAAAUGUCAAUCAUCCAAGAGCAAUCCUUACGGCGGCAUCUGUUGAGUUGCUGGUCAAUAAGUAAGCUUUAGUGAGGAUCAGGUUGCUCGAUCUAAUCGCUAAUGAAAGGGUAUUAUGAAAGAUGAUAACCUAAAUAAAAGAGCACGAGUAUAUCCAUAAAUAGAGGUCAUAUUUAUGUCAUUUAGACAUGAAUAAAAUGAUAUUACACCACUCUUUUCUUAACCCUAUUUCCUAAAAUGAACUUCAUCUAAUAAUAUCUAUUUUUUUAUGCAUCGAAUAUCCAAUUCAUUUUUUUUUUUUUGCAAAAACAAUAUAUUACUUCCUAGCAAGCUUACAACAUUCAAGAAUAUUCAUGUUUACUUUCGUCGAUGCAUAACGCAAACAAAUAAAGAAGCAUUUCAUUAUAUCCUAGAUCCAUAUUUGUUUAACCCACGUGCAUCACUCAAUUGGUGAGGGUAAAUAAUAUCUUAAAGAAAGUAAUAUUUCUAACGUGUCUUGAAUUACAUAUUAAUUUUCUAUAAUUUACCUUUUGUUCAUUAUAUUAAAGUCCCAUUAUUUUUAUUGUUAUUCUUUAUGUUUGCUAUUCCGCACGAAUACGUAUCCCUAACGUAUUAGUUGUCGCUUCUUAAAAAUUUUAUAAAUAUCAAUAAUUAAUAUCAUUAUUCAAUCAUUUAGAAAAACCUGAGCAUUAAUUAGUUUAUCUUUGAAUUAAAACUAGACACAUGUAAAUAUGUGAACUCUAAUUAAAUCCUGAUUACUUGUAAUAUAUAUGAGCCAUAUCUAAAAAGGUAAUCUCAAUUUCUACUUCCAUUUUUUAAAUGCCAGGUCGAUGUACAUUAUCUAUGCAUGUACUGAAUAGGAAGCAACACAUGAAGAUGCAUUCUUUUUGCUGGACACUGAUUUUUAUUUUUCAUUUUUUUUUCCAAUUAUUCAAUGGUGCCGCCUGGUCCACGCAUGUCCGGUUCGUCAAGCAGACAAGCACAAGCAUGUGAAACUUGCUGAAUUAUUGAUGGUGGUGGGGGCUGCCUCUGGCUUAUGAGUUUGAAGAUUUGUAAAGGGAAGGUUCGUAGUAGAUACUUCCCAUUUUCCACUUUAUUCAGCAUUUUUACAUUCAUUGAAUCUGGUAACAAGUGGUGGUGACUGGUGAUUGGUGGAUUGCCAAAUUGGAUGAGUGAACGCGUUUUCUGUCGUCCCUUCGUCGGCUUUCGUUCGUUUUCAGUUUUCACUAUCCUUUUUUUUUCAUUUUUUAUUCUUUAUUUUACUAUUUAUAAUCGGUCCCACAAAAAGAAUAUUUCAUUUUUUACAAUUGUUCAAUGAUGCUUGGUCCACCCAUGCCCAGUUCGUCAAGCAGACAAGCACAAACGCGUGAAGCUUGCUAAAUUAUUUUCUUUUCACUUUUGUGGUGGGUUUUGUUUAAUGGUAAAUGGAUAAUGACUCCCAACAUUUUGAAUAAAGAUAUAAAACACUUUAAUGGUUCAAAAAAGAUACGUAAGAUAUAUUUUUAUUAGUAAAUUUUAUUGUUUUAAUAAUAAAUUUAUUUUUAAUUUAUAAUUAUUAUUACAUCACUUUAAUAAAUAAAUUAAUAUAUUUAGAUAGAAUAAGAUAAUCUACACCAUUCUUUUCUUAAUUCUAUUUUCUAAAAUGAAUUUCAUCAAAUAACAUCUAUUUUUUAUGCAUUAAAUAUCCAAUACAUUAUUUUUCAGCAGAAUCAACAUAUUAGUUCGUAACAGAAUUGCAACAUUCAAGAGUAUUUAGGUUUAUUUUUGUCGAUGCACAACACAAAUAAAUAAAUAAGUAUUUCAUUAUAUCCAAGAGACAUAUUUACUUAACUUAUGCGUAUCACUCAAUUAGAUGGGGCAAAUAACUUUUUUUAAAAAGUGAUAUUUAUAACGUUCCUUAAAGUAUAUAUUGAUUUUCUGUAAUUUACCUUUUUUUCAUUAUGUUAAAAUUCCACUAUUUUUAUUGCUGUUCUCUAUGUUUACCAUUCCGCAUAAAUAUAUAUCCCCAAUAUAUUAGUUAUAACUUUUUAGAAAUUUUUGUAAUUAAUAUGAAUAUUCAAUCAUUUAGAAAAACCUGAUUAUUAAUGAUUAGCUUAUCUCUCAAUUAAAGCUAGACACAUGUAAAUAUGUGAACUCGAAUUAAAUCUUGAUACUUGUAAUAUAUAUGAGUCAUAUCUAACAAAGCAAGUUCUAAUUUCUACUUCCAUCUUUUAAAUGACAGGUCGAUGUGCAUUAUCGAUGCAUGUACUGAAUAGGAAGUAACACAUAAAGAUGGAUUCUUUUUGCUGGACUCUGAUUUUUAUUUGUCAUUUUUUCCAAUUGUUCAAUGAUGCUUGGUCCACCCAUGUCCAAUUAGUCAAGCAGACAAGCACAAGCGCGCGAAGCUUGCUAAAUUAUUGAUGCAUAAAGUGGAAGCAAAAGCUAGAGGCAGCCCCCACCGCCACCGAUAAUUUUUUUUUCCUCACAUUAGAGUUAUUUCGUGUAUAUCGUUUAUAGCUUAUUAAUCGACUUGUUAUUUUAUUAAGUAUAUAUAUAUAUAUAUAUAUACAUUUAAUAAAUGAGUCGAAUUUAUGUUCAGCUAAAAUGUUAGUUAUAUUUGACACGACAGUAAUAUAGCAUGAUGGUAGAAUUUACCAUUGUGAUUAUAAAAAAUUAUGGUGUAUUUUUAAGUCUUUGUCUUAAUAUUGAAAUUAAUUCAAUAAAUGAAGUAAUUAUAUGGCAAAAGGAGAGAGACAGAGAGAAACGUUUUGAUUUAACUUGAUUCAUAAGUUUGAAGAUUUGUAAAGCCAAGGUUCGUAGUUGAUGCGUUCAAUUUUCUUCUGUAUUCAGCAUUUACCCGGACGCUGGAUUAAUGUUGUUGACCCUACUAAUAUCAAAGUCUGAUUAUUUAUUUAUUUAUUUUUUGAUAUACAAUUUUAUAUUUAUUGAUUCUAGUAACUAGUGGUGGUCAUUGGUGAUUGGUGACUUGCUAAAUUAUUAAUGGAUGGUGGGCUCUCCUUUUAUUUUCACUUUCCUGGAAUAAACAGCAAGUGGAAGACUUGUUAGAUGCACUUUGCUCGACUCUCCAUGCUCACUGUUCAAUUUUCUGAUUCUGCUUUCCAUAACCCAUAAUUCUGCUCCUUUCAUAAAUUUUCUGCUGUACGGCCAAGGCGGAUGUACGGUACAGCAGAACCCAGUAGCAGUCGUACAAGAACAAGUAAGCUUCGAGAGCUCAUUUCUACUUGUUGCACCACUUUUACUCCACAAUCGAUCCAGUUCGAUUAUGCCUUGAUGUCCAAAAUAGAAGAAAUCAACGGCAGAUUUCAAGAUAUUGUAACACAGAAAGACUCGCUGGGUUUGAACGUAAGUUCAGCUGGGCUUGGGAGGACCACAAAAAACACGCAAAGGCAAGAGACAACCUCUUUGGUGAAUGAAGCCGAAAUAUAUGGCAGAGAAACAGAAAAGAAGGAAAUUGCUGAAUUGUUGUUGAGGGAUGAUUUGAGAAAUGAUGGUAGGUUCUCUGUUAUACCUAUUGUAGGUUUGGGUGGGCUAGGCAAAACUACUCUUGCUCGGCUUGGCUAUAAUGAUGAUCGAGUGAAGAAUCAUUUUGGUCCCAAAGCAUGGAUUUGUGUCUCAGAUGAUUUUGAUGUUACCAAGCUAACAAAAACAAUCUUGACAUCCAUCGUUGCUCACCAGAACGUGGAUAAUCUCAACUUGAAUAAGCUUCAAGAGGAACUGAAGAAGCAACUACUUGGAAAGAAAUUUUUGCUUGUUUUAGAUGAUGUGUGGAAUUGGAAUUACAAUGAUUGGGUUGAGUUCAGCCUUCCAUUUGGAGCAAGUGCACGGGGAAGUAAAAUUAUUGUCACUACUCGCGAUGAAGAGGUUGCAAAAAUCAUGGGGACUCUUCCAGCUUAUGAAUUAAAAAAGCUGUCAGAUAAUGAUUGUCUAGCUGUACUCGCUCAACAUUCUUUGGGGACGCGAGAUUUCAGUUCACAUAUGUCAUUGGAGGAAAUCGGCAAGAAGAUAGUGACCAAAUGUGAUGGCUUGCCGUUGGCGGCACAAGCACUUGGAGGACUUUUACGUGGAGAACGUGACAGAGGUGAGUGGGAACGUGUGCUCAGUAGCAAGAUAUGGGAAUUACAAGAAGAGGGAUGCCGCAUUAUACCAGCCCUUGCGGUGAGCUAUUAUUAUCUUCGUCCAACUUUGAAACAAUGUUUUGCAUACUGCUCGUUGUUUCCGAAGGAUUAUGAAUUUGAAGAGGAGGAGAUAAUUUUAUUAUGGAGUGCUGUGGGUUUCUUGGAUCACGGAGAGAGCGGGAAUCCAAGUGAAGAUCUAGGUCGAAAGUUCUUUCAAGAGCUACGUGCAAGAUCUUUUUUCCAGCAAUCAAGCAACGGUAUAUCACGAUUUGUGAUGCACGACCUCGUCAAUGACCUUGCUCAAUGGGCUGCUGGGGAAAUGUACUUCAGAAUGGAGUAUAUCUCAGAGGUUAACAAGCAACAAAGUUUUUCCAGAAAUCUUCGUCAUCUGUCAUACAUUCCUGAAUAUUUUGAAGGCAGUAAAAGGUUUGAAGACUUGUACAAUAUCCAGCAUUUGCGAACUUUUCUACCAGUAAGGCGGUCAAAUAGUUUGCCAUCUGGAUACUUGGCUCGUAGCAUUCUUCCUAAGUUGUUCAAACUCCAACGCUUGAGGGUCUUCUCCUUGUUUGGAUACCGCAUCUAUGAGCUACCAAAUUCAGUAGGUGAUUUACAAUUUGCACAGUCUUAACCUAUCUGGAACUGAAAUUAGAACUCUGCCUGAAUCAGUGAACAAGCUUUACAAUUUGCACACACUUUUGUUGGAGGACUGUCGGGAACUAAAGAAGUUGUGUGCAGAAAUGGGAAACCUCAUCAAAUUGCAUCAUCUUAAAAAUUCAAAUACAGAUUCCUUGGAGGAAAUGCCACUAGGAAUUGGUAAUUUGACUUGUCUUCAAACGUUGUGUAAUUUUGUUGUGGCAAAAGACAGUGGUUCCGAGUUAAGAGAGCUGAAGUCGUU